rnacentral:rRNA from 1 species
GAUGAACGCUGACAGAAUGCUUAACACAUGCAAGUCGAUGGGGAAGUGGUGCUUGCACCAUGGCAACCAUGGCGGACGGGUGAGUAACGCGUAAGGGACUUACCUGCAGGACUGGGAUAACAGGGGGAAACUCCUGACAAGACCGGAUAAUGUCAUGGAGCUGCAUGGCUUUAUGAUGAAAGGAGACGCCUGCGGAGAGCCUUGCGUCCUAUUAGCUAGUUGGUGAGGUAAUGGCUCACCAAGGCGAAGAUAGGUAGCCGGCCUGAGAGGGUGGACGGCCACAAGGGGACUGAGAUACGGCCCUUACUCCUACGGGAGGCAGCAGUGGGGAAUAUUGGACAAUGGGGGCAACCCUGAUCCAGCAAUUCUGUGUGCACGAAGAAGGUUUUCGGAUUGUAAAGUGCUUUCGGCAGGGAAGAAGUAAGUGACGGUACCUGCAGAAGAAGCGACGGCUAAAUACGUG